UAGCUGAUUGCAAUCACUUUUGUUGUUUGACACUUGCUUUACGCAGGCACUUGAACGACCUGCUACAAGUCCGUCAACUAAAUAUCUCCCCACAAACAUGAUAUUUAAAUGUUCCACGAUAUAGUUAUCUACAUUGCGAGUGGAUUUUGGAUAGUAAAUAUUGUUUAGGUUUGCUGAUACAUAUGUUGCAAGAAUUUUGCAACACGUAUAUAUCAUGUGAAUAGUAUGUUUAACUAAAAGCAAGUUAACUACCCUUGAGAAUUUGUUUUGUAAUGAAGGGAGCGGAAGUGCAUGAUACGUGAGUUUUAGCACGCUUACAUGACGAUGCCAGAUAGAGAGGGUUAUUGAACAGUUUUGGAGGGGGUGUGUACAGCCAGUCUAUCAAAAAAUAAUACUAUUAUGGUAAUAAUUCGCCAGAAGACCCUGAACAGUUAAUCUUGUGCGUCGUCCUACAUUCGGAGACCUAACUGAUUCCCACCAUGAAACAACACCAACUGUCCACUGCAAAGCGCCUUACCAAACCUAUUUUGUUUGGAACAUUAAUCGUGGGACUUGCUACUGCUUUCUUCAACAGACACCUAUUCUUUGAGGACAUCGCAGCGAUCCGGGCCCAGGAGCGAGCCCGUAAUGAAGCCAAACUGAUGGAGAUCUUGGAGAGAAGACAUAGGCAGAUGGAGGAGCUAGCUGAGAAGAAAGGAGGCAUGUGAAGGAAUGGCUCUUCACCUACUCGGCACAACAGACAGCAGACUCCCUCCAGUUGAGGUGGCACUACAUUAUCCUUCUUGUGACGUCAAAUCGACUGUUCAGUCGGAAAAAUAUUUAUUGUCAAAAGGUGAUGGAGGGAUGUGAGCCACCUGGUGUGAGGGUUUCGAAAAUACUGUGCAGAUGCAGUUUGUAAACUCUUUACCCAAACUGAAAUGUUUUCAAAUUACUUGCAUUGACUGACAUGUUUGUUAUAAUUCAAGUUCAACAAAGUAAUUCCCCCCAUUUCUGUCCCAAUUAUCAGCCUCAGCUGAAAAAGUGAAGUUUAAUUGUCUUAUAAUGUGUAAAAAUCAGUAUAUUUGAUGCAACCUCCUAUUAUGGUAAGGUUUGGUUCACCUGUAAUAAAACUAAAGAAUUCCU